rnacentral:rRNA from 1 species
AACGAACGCUGGCGGCGUGGAUAAGACAUGCAAGUCGAACGAGAACUUUCGUUGUAGCAAUACAGUGAAAGUUCUAGUGGCGAACGGGUGCGUAACACGUGGGCAAUCUGCCUUAAAGUGGGGGAUAGCUCGGCGAAAGCCGGAUUAAUGCCGCGUGUGAUUACCGGAGAAUUCUUCGGAACAUCAAAGUCGGGGCAACCUGACGCUUUUUGAGGAGCCCGCGGCCUAUCAGCUAGUUGGUGAGGUAACGGCUCACCAAGGCGUUGACGGGUAGCUGGUCUGAGAGGACGACCAGUCACACUGGAACUGAGACACGGUCCAGACACCUACGGGUGGCAGCAGUCGAGAAUUUUUCUCAAUGGGGGAAACCCUGAAGGAGCGACGCCGCGUGGAGGAUGAAGGUCUUCGGGUUGUAAACUCCUGUCAUUUGGGAACAAUGCUUACGUAUUAACUGUACGUGAGUUGAUAGUACCAGAAGAGGAAGAGACGGCUAACUCUGUGCCAGCCGCCGCCGUAAAAC